AUUGACCAUCAGGCUAUAUUCCCGUCCACGCCUGUCUCCGGUCUCUAACUAGAAAACAGAAAAUAUCCAUACAUAAAAUGUGUAACUGUUAUUUCUGAUAUCUCCUGAUAUAUAUACGUGUGUUUAUAUCAACUCUCUGUGAUUUUUUAUUCCAUAUAUAAAAUCUGAUGAUUUAUGAAUAUUGAUGAUCUAGAGUAAGGUUAUGAAUAUUGAUUAUCUAGAGUAAGGUUAUGAAUAUUGAUGAUCUAGAGUAAGGUUAAAAGUUACUGUUUGUUUGAAAACUGUUUUUUGACUGACUUGUCCAAAAUAAAGAAUUUUAAUUAUA